UACGUAGGGUGCAAGCGUUGUCCGGAAUUAUUGGGCGUAAAGAGCUCGUAGGCGGUUCGUCGCGUCGGCUGUGAAAUCCCGAGGCUCAACCUCGGGUCUGCAGUCGAUACGGGCGGACUGGAGUUCGGCAGGGGAGACUGGAAUUCCUGGUGUAGCGGUGAAAUGCGCAGAUAUCAGGAGGAACACCGGUGGCGAAGGCGGGUCUCUGGGCCGAUACUGACGCUGAGGAGCGUAAGCGUGGGGAGCGAACAGG
rnacentral:rRNA from 1 species